AAGCCCUGCGGUGUCUGACAUGCCAGAUUGCAAAUCUCGAGAAGCAAACGAAAGGUUUGCCAGGGCUUC
rnacentral:tRNA from 1 species